AACGAACGCUGGCGGCAGGCUUAACACAUGCAAGUCGAACGCCCCUUUCGGGGGGAGUGGCAGACGGGUGAGUAACGCGUGGGAACGUGCCCUUCAGUUUGGAAUAACCCAGGGAAACUUGGGCUAAUACCGGAUACGCCCUUAGGGGGAAAGAUUUAUCGCUGAAGGAUCGGCCCGCGUCGGAUUAGCUGGUUGGUGAGGUAAUGGAUCACCAAGUCGACGAUCAGUAGCUGGUCUGAGAGGAUGAUCAGCCACAUUGGGACUGAGACACGGCCCACACUCCUGCGGGAGGCUACAGUGGGGAAAAUUGGACAAUGGGCGCAAGCCUGAUCCAGCCAUGCCGCGUGAGUGAUGACGGCCUUAGGGUUGUAAAGCUCUUUCGCACGCGACGAUAAUGACGGUAGCGUGAGAAGAAGCCCCGGCUAACUUCGUGCCAGCAGCCGCCGUAACAC
rnacentral:rRNA from 1 species